AUUGAACGCUGGCGGCAUGCCUUACACAUGCAAGUCGAACGGCAGCACGGGGCAACCUGGUGGCGAGUGGCGAACGGGUGAGUAAUGCAUCGGAACGUACCUUUCAGUGGGGGAUAACGUAGCGAACGUUACGCUAAUACCGCAUAUUCUGUGAGCAGGAAAGCAGGGGAUCGCAAGACCUUGCGCUGAUUGAGCGGCCGGUGUCAGAUUGGCUAGUUGGUGAGGUAAAGGCCCACCAAGGCGACGAUCUGUAGCGGGUCUGAGAGGAUGAUCCGCCACACUGGAACUGAGACACGGUCCAGACUCCUACGGGAGGCAGCAGUGGGGAAUUUUGGACAAUGGGGGCAACCCUGAUCCAGCCAUGCCGCGUGAGUGAAGAAGGCCUUCGGGUUGUAAAGCUCUUUCGGCCGGGAAGAAAUCGCACGGGCUAAUACCCUGUGUGGAUGACGGUACCGGAAUAAGAAGCACCGGCUAACUACGUGCCAGCCGCCGCCGUAACAC
rnacentral:rRNA from 1 species